rnacentral:rRNA from 1 species
UACGUAGGGUGCGAGCGUUUAAUCGGAAUUACUGGGCGUAAAGCGUGCGCAGGCGGCUUCGCAAGUCAGACGUGAAAUCCCCGGGCUUAACCUGGGAAUGGCGUUUGAAACUACGGAGCUGGAGUGUGGCAGAGGGAGGUAGAAUUCCACGUGUAGCGGUGAAAUGCGUAGAUAUGUGGAGGAAUACCGAUGGCGAAGGCAGCCUCCUGGGGCCAACACUGACGCUCAUGCACGAAAAGCGUGGGGAGCAAACAGG